GUGACUUGGGAAAUUGCCUCUCUCAGCUUCAGUUUCCUCAACUCUCAAAUGGGACUAAUAAUACCUACCACAUAGACGGUUGGGAGGACGAAAAGAGAUCAUCUCCUGGAGCGAUUAGCAUCGUGCCUGGAAUGAGGAAGGAAUCACUAGGUUCCUAGUGGAGGAGUCCAGGAAGAAGAACAAGACUGACAACAACCAUAGCUAUCACUUUCCAGAACUUCCUGAGCCACAGACUUCACAUACAUUAUCUUGUUCAUCUCAUAGCAAUCCAGUGAGGUGGGGACCAUCCUUAUGCCCAUUUUCCAGUGGGGGAAACUGAGUCUCACAGUGGUUACGUCCCGCGUGGACAGUCUGUCAGCUGGUGAGUGGCAGAGCCGGCAUUUAAACCCCACACCGUUUGGCUCCACAUCCCACGCUUUCCCUCCUUACUGCACACUGCAUCCCUGGGCCCCUUCCAGCCGCUAGCCCCCCGCCCAAGGGGAGCCACUCUCCUGACUUCCACAGCAGAGGUGAGUCCUUCUGUAUUUGUACUUUAUGUAAAUGGCAUCAUGCAGUGUGUGCUCUUUGGUGUCUGGCUUCUUUCACUCAACAUCAAGUUUGUGAGAUUCACCCAUGUUGUUGAGUAUGUCUGUUGAUCAUUGGUAUGCUCUUGGCCGUACAGAAUUCCGUUGUGUGACUACGCUUCAGUUUAUGUAUCCAUUCUAUUAUUGAUGGACUUUGAAUUGUUUCUUUUUCUUGGCUAUUACACAAAGCUGUAUUAUGCAUAUAUAAACUUUUAAGGUUGUAGAUAAAAGAAUCUAUAUAGACAACAUAUCAUCUGUGGAUAAUGAGAAUUUUAAGUUUUUUUUUCCCCUUUCCAAACCUUAUAUGUUUUCUUUCUUUUCUUUUUUCUUCCUGAUUUUAAAAGCCUUCACUGUUUCACCAUUAAAAAUAAUUUUGUGUAGGUUUUGGUUAGACUUCCCUUAUCAGAUUAAGGAAAUCCCUUUCGAUUCUGAGCUAGUUAAUUUUUUAAAUCAUAAAUAGAUAUUUUGAAUUUCAUCGAAUGUGUUUUCUCUGUCUUUUGAAAUAACCAUAUUGUUUUGUUCUUGUAAUGCUAAUGGUGUGAAAGAUAAUUACAGAUUUUCUGAAGUUAAACCUUACAUUCCUGGAAUAAACUCAGCUGAGUCAUGAUGUGUUAUUUUUUUUCAUAAAGUGCAGGAUUUAUUUUGCUAAUAUUUGUGUAGGAUUACUCUCUUUAUGUUCCUAAAUGAAGUUUCCCUAUGAUUUUUCUUUAUUAUAUUUUUCCAGUUUUAGCAUCAAAGGUAGAGUGGACUCAUAGACUGAAUUAGGGAAUAUUCUUUUUCUUUUUUCUUCAAAGAAUUUGCAUAAUAUUAGAAUGAUAUGUUCCAUGAACACUUGGUAGAAUUUACUUGUAAAAUCAUCUGUGCCUGGUGAUUAUUUGUAGGAAAAUUAAACAAUUGAUUCACUUGUUUUGAUGGUUAUGAGCUAUUUCUAUUUGAGUUGGUUAUUUUUCAAAGAAUGUGCUCAUUUCUUCUAAGUUAAUGCAUCUUUAUGCAUUCUUUGGCAUGUAGUUUUUUAUAGUACUCUCUUAUCUUCUUAGUCUCUGAUGGAUCUCUCAUUAUAUCCCUUUUUAUUGUUAAUAUUAUUUGUGCAUUUCUCUUUCUUGCACAAUUCUCCUAGAGGCUUGCCUAUUUUAUUCGCGUUUUCUAAGAACCAACUUUAGGUUUUUGUAAAUCUUUGUUUUCUAUUUCAUUAAUUUCGACACCUAAAGUUAUUUUUCUUUAAAUUUAUUCUGUUGUUCUUUUUCUAAUUUCUUAAGUUGGGUACUUAGCUCAUUAAUUUUCAGCCUUGCCUCUCUUAUACGAAUAAGCAUUUAAGUCUCUACAUUUCUCUCAUUUCUCUCAUAGUAUCUUUUUUAUUGCAUUCCAGAAGCCUUGGUAUGUUGUAUUUUCAUUAUUGUUUAGUUCUAAAUAUAUUUAAAUUUCUCGGGGUCUUUUAUCCAAAAGGUAUUUAAAAGUGAGAUUUAAAAGUUCUAAGCAUAUGUUUUUGAGGUCUAAAUUAAUUGCACUGUGGUUGGAAAACUUGGUCCAUAUGAUAAGGGAUAUUUGAAAAUUUUAACCCUUCUUCUAUUCCAUGGUUAGUCUUUGUAAAUAUUGUCAUAUGGAAUCUAUAUAUGUUUGAUAAAUCAAACGAUAAUUGCAUUUUUAUAUUUUUACUAAUUUUUUGUCCUAUCAAUAAAUAAAAGAUGUACCUUGAACAUUG